rnacentral:rRNA from 1 species
GACGAACGCUGGCGGCGUGCUUAACACAUGCAAGUCGAGCGGUAAGGCCCUUUCGGGGGUACACGAGCGGCGAACGGGUGAGUAACACGUGGGUGACCUGCCCUCAGCUCUGGGAUAAGCCCGGGAAACUGGGUCUAAUACCGGAUAUCACCUUGGGAGGCAUCUUCCGGGGUUGAAAGUUUUUGGCGGCUGAGGAUGGGCCCGCGGCCUAUCAGCUUGUUGGUGGGGUAGUGGCCUACCAAGGCGACGACGGGUAGCCGGCCUGAGAGGGCGACCGGCCACACUGGGACUGAGACACGGCCCAGACUCCUACGGGAGGCAGCAGUGGGGAAUAUUGCACAAUGGGCGAAAGCCUGAUGCAGCGACGCCGCGUGA